rnacentral:lncRNA from 1 species
AUGGCCCAGUACGCACCGGUGGACUCAUCAGCGGCCAGGAUCCCUUUGCCCGGUGCCACGAUGCGCUUGGCGAUGUCGGACAGCUCCUGCUUCUGCUCCGGGGUGAGAGCCGGGUACUGGUGCGGCAUGGCGGCGGUGCUACUGGGGGAACUGGGAGCACUGGGAGGGCGCCUUUCACCCCAAAAUUCCACUCCAAAAUUUCACUUUUUCACGCCAAAAUUCCACCCCAAAAAUUCACCUUUUCACCCCAAAUUCUGCCCCAAAAUUCCACGUUUUCACCCCAUCAUUCUGACCCAAAAUUCUGCCUUUUCACCCCAUAAUUCUGCCCACAAAUUCCACUUUUUCACCCCAAAGUUCCACCCCAAAAUUUCACCUUUUCACCCAAAAUUCUGUCCCAAUAUUCCAUCUUUUCACCCCAAAAUUCUGCCCCAUAAAUCCACCUUUCACCCCAAAAUUCUGCCCCAAAAUUUCACUUCCCUUCCCAAAUUCUGCUCUUCACCCCAAAAUUUCACAAUUUUGCCCCAAAAUUCAGCCCCUCCAACCUCAAAAUCUGCAUUUUUCACCCCAAAAUCCACACUUCUCAGCCCCCAAAUCCCCACUUUCCACCCCAAAAUCCUGACUUUUGCCCCCAAAUCUGCAUUUUUCAGACCAAAAUCUGCCCUUUUUCACCCCAAAUCCAAACUUUCCUGCCCCAAAAUCCCAACUUUGUGUCCCAAAAUCCCAACUUUUCACCCCAAAUCUGCAACUUUUGGCCCCAAAUCCUCCAUUCAAUCCCCAAAUCCCAACUUUUCUGCCCCAAAUCUGGAAUUUUUUGCCCCAAAUCUCAAACAUUUGCUCCAAAAUCGCAACUUUUGCCCCCAAAUCUGCACUUUUUUGCCCAAAAUCUCCACUUUUCUCCCCAAAAUCUGAAUUUUUCAGCCCCCGAAUCUCCACUUUUUGCCCCAAAUCUCAACUUUUCGCCCCAAAAUCCGAACGUUUGGCCCCAAAUCUCAACUUUUCGCCCCAAAAUCGACACUUUUGGAGCCCAAAUCUCCCCUUUUCCGCCCCAAAUCCGCACAUUUUUGUCCCCAAAUCUCCGCUUUUCACCCCAAAAUCUCCGUUUGCCGCCCCAAAACCCGCAUUUUCCAGCCCCCAAAUCCCCGCUUUUCACCCCAAAAUUUCCUUAUCUCCCAAAUCUGCAUCUUUUACCCCAAAUCCCCACUUUUCACCCCAAACCCGCCCUCCAACAAAUCCCGCAGCCCCAAAAUCGCCCUUUUUCCCCCCAAAUCCGUUCCCAUCCCCAAACC